rnacentral:rRNA from 1 species
GAUCAUGGCUCAGGAUGAACGCUGGCGGCGUGCUUAACACAUGCAAGUCGAACGGGAAACAUUUUAUUGAAGCUUCGGCAGAUUUGAUUUGUUUCUAGUGGCGGACGGGUGAGUAACGCGUGGGUAACCUGCCUUAUACUGGGGGAUAACAGCCAGAAAUGGCUGCUAAUACCGCAUAAGCGCACAGAACCGCAUGGUUCCGUGUGAAAAACUCCGGUGGUAUAAGAUGGACCCGCGUUGGAUUAG